rnacentral:rRNA from 1 species
CCUACGGGUGGCAGCAGUGGGGAAUAUUGCACAAUGGGGGAAACCCUGAUGCAGCGACGCCGCGUGAGCGAUGAAGUAUUUCGGUAUGUAAAGCUCUAUCAGCAGGGAAGAAAAUGACGGUACCCGACUACGAAGCCCCGGCUAACUACGUGCCAGCAGCCGCGGUAAUACGUAGGGGGCCAGCGUUAUCCGGUUUUAUUGGGUUUAAAGGGUGCGCAGGCGGAAGAUCAAGUCAGAGGUAAAAUUGAGUGGCUCAACCUCUUGGAGCCGUUGAAACUGGGUUUCUUGAGUGAGCGAGAAGUAGGCGGAAUGCGUGGUGUAGCGGUGAAAUGCAUAGAUAUCACGCAGAACUCCGAUUGCGAAGGCAGCAUACUGGCGCUCAACUGACGCUGAUGCACGAAAGUGGGGGUAUCGAACAGGAUUAGAUACCCGAGUAGUC